rnacentral:rRNA from 1 species
AAUCAACGCUGGCGGCGCGCCUAACACAUGCAAGUCGAACGAGAAAGUGGAGCAAUCCAUGAGUAAAGUGGCGUACGGGUGAGUAACACGUGGAUAACCUGCCCUUUAGUGGGGAAUACCGUUGGGAAACCGACGACAAUACCGCAUAAGCUCGAGAGAGGAAAGCAGCAAUGCGCUGAAGGAGGGGUCCGCGGUCGAUUAGCUGGUUGGUGAGGUAAUGGCUCACCAAGGCUGUGAUCGAUAGCCGGCCUGAGAGGGCACACGGCCACACUGGCACUGAAACACGGGCCAGACUCCUACGGGAGGCAGCAGUGGGGAAUCUUGCACAAUGGGGGAAACCCUGAUGCAGCGACGCCGCGUGAGCGAUGAAGCCCUUCGGGGUGUAAAGCUCUUUUGUGCGGGAAGAUAAUGACGGUACCGCAAGAAUAA